UCACCGGUGAAUUACUAUAAGAAAAUAUGUAUUUUUUGAUGCACAAUAUGGACGUCGAGAGAAAAGGCUUUUCUCGACACUAUAGAAGCACUGUCGAGAAAGGUUGACAAUCCUAACGCGACAUAAGGCGACGUCGGUAUAAGAUCUGUGUUACUCGAAAAUGAAGGAAAGGAAGACUAAAAACAAGGGAGACGAAUGAAGGGUUUGAAGACCGAAAAAGGAGGAAGAAGGUCCACCGUCGCUCACCGCCCACCGUCCGUUGCUUGCUAUUGCCGUCGACUCUUGAGUUGUCGUUCGUCUCUCGCCGGUGUAGUAUUUCUUUUUUAAGAAUAGAAGAUCUUCGAAAGCACAAAAUAAGGCAUCAAGAGAAGUCAAGGAUCUCCCUACGCUACAUUUUGUGCGUCGGGAGAUCCUCUCCUGACUUAUUUUUCCUAACUUCAAUCCUGACGCGAAUUUAUGUGUCGAGAAAUCCUUUUCCGAUGCUUUUUCAUAUAUCUCUCGACGCUUUUGUGCAUCGGGAAAUCUCCAUUUUCUUGUAGUAAAUCUACGUAAGGACCAGUGGGACACGCCUCAAAUUAUUGAUUUUUGUAUUUUAAUAUUUAUUUUGAAGUCUCAUUUUACAUUAUAUAACAUGUCUUUUAAACCAAUGUUGGUUAGUAUAGUGGUUGUCCCAUACUCUUUCAAACUCAAAUUGUGGUUUUUGUUCUUUCCACGGAUCCAUGUGGGGGUAAAUAUAAAUAAUAGUACCAAUAAAUGCAUUGUAAUGAACAAAAUGUAUGUGACAUUUUGUGUUCGAAUUCCAUUUAAAGGCAUGCUUUAAAAAAAUCUUAAAAUUGUAAAAUUUUGAAGCUUAGAGAUCGAAUGGAAACAAAAGCGAAACAUUUUGUAACCUAUAUAUGCAAUUCGACUUAAUUUGAUCAGUUUUCACAUAUAAAAAUUAAAUUUUUUUGUUCCAUUUAGCUUGAUCACUAAAUCAAAGGUGGUGGUUAACCACAGGAUCACUGAAGCUGGUGUCUAAAAGUUGACUUAACUUCCAACCUUUGAAACAAAUACCCUUAGGGUUAAAGAAUACUAACGGCGUGCCGAUUAUUUUAAGUCCUAAUCUUAAUCCUCAACUAAAGCUAAAUCUUGCCCAAACAAGAAGUGGACUAUUAAAGCUCACUUCACUCCACUCUAAGCCUCAACCCAUGCUCUUAAUAGUUGACUCUCUCCUAUGGACUUUCGAAGCUUUGUUUCUCAUGUUUCCGUGGGUCUUGAUGAAGAAUAUAUUCCUAUUAUUGUGUAAUAUGAGGUCAAGAUCUCACAUGGAACAAGGUCCAGUAUGAACUACUUUUGUAUGAAUAAAGGCAUGAGAAGAAGAGAAACUUCAACUACAACCAAAAUAACUAGAGGAAACCAUACCAACCAUCAUUCCAACAACAACACAAAUUAAGGAGGAAAUUCGAAGAGGAAGAAAUAGGUAUUUACCCUACCCACCAUUCAACAAACCCACCUCUCAUGGGAUAAAGUUCUAGUCAAGGUAGCCAAUCUUUUCUUUGACUAUGGAUAAGGUACAAUCAAAUCAAGAAUACAAAACGAGAGACCGAACAUUCGAAGAAGAAUCCCCAACCCAUCACCAACCCUUCGAUUCACUAGCAAUUGUUGUAUAAUGAGGAAAAUGUAAAAUAAGUUGUAAAAAAAAUGUAAAACAAUUCUAAAUAUUUAUACACAUACAUUUAUUUAGUGAAAAUUUAACCGUUUUCCAAAAUUUUAGGAAGGCAGUGACGUGGAUGCUGUGGGGCCCAACCGUUAAAUUCACAAGAAAAAUAUCUAUUGAAGAAAUGAGGUGUGGGCCCUAUCAACUCUGACAAUGACAAUGACGUGGAACUAUCAACUAUGCAACUAUUUUGUUUUCAUCAAACUAUGUGUUGUAUUCCUCACAUAAAAACAAAAGAAAAAAAAGUUAUCUACGUCAAUAUUACCAUUUUUUAAAAUAAGUUUUUAAAAACAUUUUU